rnacentral:RNase_P_RNA from 1 species
GCGGGGGGCCGGACGGCCGCGGGGUGCAUUCCACCACGAGGAAAGUCCGGACUCCACAAAGCAACGGUGCCGGGUAACGCCCGGGCGGGGUAACCCGACGGAAAGCGCCACAGAAAACAGACCACCGUGGGUUCGCCCGCGGAAAGGGUGAAACGGUGGGGUAAGAGCCCACCGGGGGGCUGGCAACAGCGCCCGCAUGGCAAGCCCCACCGGGAGCAACGCCGAAUAGGGACCUCACGCUCCGGGCAACCGGUGGCACGGGCGCUUUGCCCCAGAGGUCCGGGUUGGCAGCUUGAGGCCCGAAGCGAUUCGCGGUCCAGAGGAAUGGUCGUCACCCGAGGGGCAGCCUUCGGGACAGAAUCCGGCUUACAGGCCCCCCGCACAC